UCGUCGGCCCGUGGUGAUUUGCCGCGUAUUGCAGCCACGUUAAACAACUCGCUAAAAAGCGCACGCCUGCGGCAGC
rfam:Gemmatimonadetes bacterium 13_1_40CM_70_15 13_1_40cm_scaffold_8461, whole genome shotgun sequence.